CCCCUCCCUUCCGAGGGGAGCGUGCGAUCAUAUCUUCUCCGAACGAGUGCCUACUUAUCUGCAAAUGACCAACGCGAUCAAGGCCGGGCCAUGGGGUGAGAAUGGAGGGAGUACAUGGGAUACUUCGGAAACUCAAGGCAUCACCCGCAUCAAGAUUUACUAUGGAGAUGGCAUAUACGGGUUGGACAUUACCUUCGUCAUAGAUGGCAAACGCCAAACCCUAAGUGUUGGAAGCACAGGAGGAAAUGUAUGGAACGAGAUCAUUCUCAAGGAAAAAGAGUACUUCAACGACAUCUCAGUCUCUUACGGUGCACUGUGUGUGUGUCCGGGAAGUGGUCAUGCCAUAAAACAACUUACUAUUGGCACCAACAAGGGCACACGUGUUACUGUUGGCACGACGAAAGAGGCAGACUUUAGCUUCCCGCCUCCACCACUACAUCCUUCACCUCCUCACAAGAUCGUGGGAUUUUUUGGACGUGCAAGCACAGCUAUCGACGCAAUUGGAACUUACUACAAGGAGAUAAACUUAGGGUAAAAUCUAGUCCAUGAAUGUUCCCAUGCAGAAGGGAUAUUGCUGCUACAUGAAUGCUCUAGUAAAUAAGUAGCGGCAGCUGAUGUUCGUCUCCUUGUGAUCAUCGUCAUCGUCGUUGUACUCGUCGCUUAAUGUAUCUUUGAAUAAAUUAUGAUGUGUUUGUGGGUCCUCUUUGAUA